AUUGAGGCAGUCAAAGUAGGCAAAUCCGCUUUGAUAAUGCUGGGAUGUGAUGGGGAGCGAAAUUUAGUAGCGAAGUAGCUGAUUUCACACUGUCAAGAAAAGUCUCUAUCGAGGUUAAAGGUACCCGUACCGCAAACCGACACAGGUGGGUGAGGAGAGUAUCCUAAGGCCAGCGAGAGAACUGUUGUUAAGGAACUCGGCAAAAUGACCCCGUAACUUAGGGAUAAGGGGUGCCACCAUCAGGUGGCCGCAGAGAAUAGGCCCAAGCGACUGUUUACCAAAAACAUAGGUUUCUGCUAAGUCGCAAGACGAUGUAUAGGAGCUGACGCCUGCCCGGUGCUGGAAGGUUAAGGGGAUCUGUUAGAGCAAUCGAAGCAGUGAACUUAAGCCCCAGUAAACGGCGGCCGUAACUAUAACGGUCCUAAGGUAGCGAAAUUCCUUGUCGGGUAAGUUCCGACCCGCACGAAAGGCGUAACGAUUUGGGCACUGUCUCAACAACAGACUCGGUGAAAUUGUAAUUCCGGUGAAGAUGCCGGAUACCUGCGACAGGACGGAAAGACCCCAUGGAGCUUUACUGUAGCUUGACAUUGGGUCUUGGUACUACAUGUACAGGAUAGGUGGGAGGCUUUGAAACCAGGACGCCAGUUUUGGCGGAGCCAUCCUUGGGAUACCACCCUUGUAGUACUGGGACUCUAACCAUAGGCCAUGAAUCUGGUCUUGGGACACUGUCAGGUGGGCAGUUUGACUGGGGCGGUCGCCUCCCAAAAGGUAACGGAGGCGCUCAAAGGUUCUCUCAGUACGGUCGGAAAUCGUACGUAGAGUGUAAAGGCAAAAGAGAGCUUGAUUGCAAGACAUACAGGUCGAGCAAGGAUGAAAAUCGGACUUAGUGAUCCGGUGGUUCUGCGUGGAAGGGCCAUCGCUCAACGGAUAAAAGCUACCCUGGGGAUAACAGGCUUAUCUCCCCCAAGAGUCCACAUCGACGGGGAGGUUUGGCACCUCGAUGUCGGCUCAUCACAUCCUGGGGCUGUAGUAGGUCCCAAGGGUUGGGCUGUUCGCCCAUUAAAGUGGUACGCGAGCUGGGUUCAGAACGUCGUGAGACAGUUCGGUCCCUAUCCGUCGCAGGCGUAGGAAAUUUGAGAAGACCUGUCCUUAGUACGAGAGGACCGGGAUGGACG
rnacentral:rRNA from 1 species